rnacentral:rRNA from 1 species
AGUGAACGCUGGCGGCGGGCCUAACACAUGCAAGUCGAACGGCCGCACAAUAAGCUUGCGCCCUUACCGGUGGCGGCGGACGGGUGAGUGAGACGUGCAUCAGCUACUUAUAUUUCGGGGGUAACUACGGGAGGCAACAUCUGCUACUAGCUCAUAUAUCCAACGGCAGGGUUCAGUAGUUAUUGGCGCCUUUGGUGUUACUAAUAGCCGGGGUCGGAUUAGCUAGUUGGUAAGGUAAAGGCACACCAAGGCGACGAUCCGUAGCGGGUCUGAGAGGAUGAUCAGCCACACUGGAACUGAGACACGGUCCAGACUCCUACGGGAGGCAGCAGUAGGGAAUAUUGGGCAAUGGGCGCAAGCCUGAUCCAGCCAUGCCGCGUGGGUGAAGAAGGCCUUCGGAUUGUAAAGCCCUGUUGUUGGGGAAGAAAAGCAGCAGAUUUAUCCCCCGCUGUCCUGACGGUACCCAAAGAAUAAGCACCGGCUAACUUCGUG